CUGCAACACGGCGCGUGAAGGCACUUCCCAAUCCGCAAAACCUGCAACACAACUUCUACCAAUUACAUUCCCUUCGUUUUUCAGAUUCAGCCCAAGGAAACAGGCAGGCCCACUGACGUCAACGGGGGUCCCGUCUCCGCCUCCCAGUCACAACGCGUCAAGCCAGGGAGAUCUUGCCCAAAACGCAGCAGAAAGUUUCCUGGGAUUCAACCCCGCAGACAUGUGGCCUGACUACCACUACCUCCUCGCUGCUGAUUGGCUGGCCCGGGUGUGCGUGUCAUAAUGGGGGGGCGUGUCGCAGUGUGGUCUCCCCAGUCCCGAUGGGUGUAGGCUACGUCAUUGGGGCUAAUUAAGGCGUGGCCCCGCCCCCUGCCGGGAACAGAGCGGCCCGUUGCCAUGAACUCCUCAAGAGCGUUCGGUCACAUCCUCCCCUGCGUGCGUUUGUUCAGUGAGGAAAACAUUGCAUACUUUUCUCUCUCUCUCUCUCUCUCUCUC